UACGAAGGGGGCUAGCGUUGUUCGGAAUUACUGGGCGUAAAGCGCGCGCAGGCGGCUAUCCAAGUCAGUGGUGAAAGCCCGGAGCUCAACUCCGGAACUGCCAUUGAAACUGUUUAGCUUGAGGACGAGAGAGGUGAGUGGAAUUCCCAGUGUAGAGGUGAAAUUCGUAGAUAUUGGGAAGAACACCGGUGGCGAGGGCGGCUCACUGGCUCGUAUCUGACGCUCAGGCGCGACAGCGUGGGGAUCAAACAGG
rnacentral:rRNA from 1 species